AGUAACACGUGGAUAACCUACCUAUAAGACUGGGAUAACUUCGGGAAGCCGGAGCUAAUACCGGAUAAUAUUUUGAACCGCAUGGUUCAAAAGUGAAAGACGGUCUUGCUGUCACUUAUAGAUGGAUCCGCGCUGCAUUAGCUAGUUGGUAAGGUAACGGCUUACCAAGGCAACGAUGCAUAGCCGACCUGAGAGGGUGAUCGGCCACACUGGAACUGAGACACGGUCCAG
rnacentral:rRNA from 1 species